rnacentral:ncRNA from 1 species
AGGGGAAAGCGAUCUCCCCUCAAGGCGACAUGCCCAAGAAUCGC